GUUGGACUCAGUGAUCUCAAAAGGCUUUUCCAACCAAAGCGAUUCUAAGAUCCUGUAGGUAGGUGAUAAUUGGAUGAGGCGGGGGGAGGAGAGAACACGGCUGAGAUGAUGUUUUUACGAAGACCCGGACCUGCGCCUUUUCCCCCCAGGCUGUGGCUUUCGCCCCUCUGUAGGACCCCACAAAAGCAAGAAAGCCCCUCAGCCACCUGAACGGUGGGGUUCUCACCACGCCUGGUUUUUCCUUCUGAUUGUUAAGCAGAUGGAUGCUGAAUGGGUGCCACCCGCACCCGGCAAAAGUUGAGCCCCUCCGUCAGCUGAAGUUUCUGCACACCACGUUGCCUCGGAAAGGUCUGGAGGAGUUUUUCGAUGAUCCAAAGAACUGGGGAGAAAAAAGCGUAAAGUCUGGGGAUGCAUGGAAUAUAAAGCAGCUAAGGGGCAAGAGUAGUGAGGACUUGCACAAACUUUGGUAUGUCCUACUGAAGGAAAAAAACAUGCUUUUAACUUUAGAGCAAGAAUCGAAACGACAACUCAGGCCUAUGCCAAGUCCAGAACGAUUAGAAAAGGUAGAAAAAUCUAUGAAAAAUAUUGAUUUGGUUGUCAAAGAAAGAGAAAUUGCUUUGAGGCUUUUACAAACUGGCCAUGAAAAGCCAGUACCUGGCGAGUGGAGACAUGACUUCUUGGGACGCACCUACUGGUACACUUACAAGGAAUGGCCAAUACCGUGGUACUUGAACAAAAAACACAAAAAGAGGAAAUUCUAUUACUUACCUCACGUGAACCGCUUCAUCAGGCUCAGACUUGAAAAAUCUUUACGUCUAAGGGCAAGGCGGCAAAACCUUGAGAGGACAAGGCGGAAGGUCCUGGAAAGGAAGUUCCCUCACCUCGCUGCAAAAUCUCAGAGCCAGUAACAUGCUGGAGGGACACUGCAAGCAACUGGUCGAGUAUCUUGGUGACUGGGACAUGAAACAAGUUCUGAAACCAGCAAACAGCUUGCCUGAGCAUUCCUGAGAGUUUCUUUUAAAGAUAAGGAGCAGAACUUCAUUGCGUCCCAAUACAGACCAUCAGGCAGCUCUAAGUAAGCCUAACAGCAACA